rnacentral:sRNA from 1 species
GAGUAACGUUCAAGUUGAAUGACUUUUCAGGUUUACAGCACCCCCACCCAUUUGCUGGUAUUUCGCAGAUACUCGAAAAUAUUAGAUGCAAAUACGAUACGGGGGAUUCAUACAUAUUGAAGCAGAGUCAAGUGGUGGCAUUGCGUCAUAAUAACCGAUGGCCAACACUUAAGACUAAAUGAUUGAGCGGCAAAAAAAUUAGAAAAAUAAAU